rnacentral:rRNA from 1 species
UUUAAUUCGAUGAUACGCGAGGAACCUUACCCGGGCUUGAAUUGCAGAGGAAAGAUCCAGAGAUGGUGAUGCCCUUCGGGGCCUCUGUGAAGGUGCUGCAUGGUUGUCGUCAGCUCGUGCCGUGAGGUGUCGGCUUAAGUGCCAUAACGAGCGCAACCCCUUUCUUUAGUUGCCAUCAGGUCAUGCUGGGCACUCUGGAGAUACUGCCACCGUAAGGUGUGAGGAAGGUGGGGAUGACGUCAAAUCAGCACGGCCCUUACGUCCGGGGCUACACACGUGUUACAAUGGCCGGUACAGAGAGAGGGUUGCUUGCAAAAGUAAUCAAAUCCUUAAAACCGGUCCCAGUUCGGACUGGGGUCUGCAACUCGACCCCACGAAGCUGGAUUCGCUAGUAAUCGCGCAUCAGCCAUGGCG